UCGAGGAUCUUCCGCAAUGGACGAAAGUCUGACGGAGCGACGCCGCGUGAGUGAUGAAGGCCCUUGGGUCGUAAAGCUCUGUCAUCAGGGACGAACGGUCACGUCAGGAAAUGGGCGUGAAUUGACGGUACCUGAGAAGGAAGCCACGGCUAACUACGUGCCAGCAGCCGCGGUAAUACGUAGGUGGCGAGCGUUGUCCGGAAUUAUUGGGCGUAAAGCGCGCACAGGUGGGAUCUUAAGUCUGUUCUGAAAGUUCGGAGCUUAACUCCGUGAUGGGAUGGAAACUGGGAUUCUUGAGUAUCGGAGAGGAAAGCGGAAUUCCCCGUGUAGCGGUGAAAUGCGUAGAUAUGGGGAGGAACACCAGUGGCGAAGGCGGCUUUCUGGACGAUGUCUGACACUAAGAUACGAAAGCGUGGGGAGCAAACA
rnacentral:rRNA from 1 species